GUGUUUGCUUUGGUAGCACACACACUAAAAUUGGAAUGAUACAGAGAAUAUUAGCAUCACCCCUGCACAAGGGUGACACACAAAUCAAUGUAUCAUUCCAUAGUAUU
rnacentral:snRNA from 1 species